UACGUAGGGUGCAAGCGUUGUCCGGAAUUAUUGGGCGUAAAGAGCUCGUAGGCGGUCUGUCGCGUCUGCUGUGAAAACCUGGGGCUUAACCCCGGGCCUGCAGUGGGUACGGGCAGACUAGAGUGUGGUAGGGGAGACUGGAAUUCCUGGUGUAGCGGUGAAAUGCGCAGAUAUCAGGAGGAACACCGAUGGCGAAGGCAGGUCUCUGGGCAUUAACUGACGCUGAGGAGCGAAAGCAUGGGGAGCGAACAGG
rnacentral:rRNA from 1 species